rnacentral:rRNA from 1 species
AGCGAACGCUGGCGGUAGGCCUAACACAUGCAAGUCGAACGGCAGCACAGUAAGAGCUUGCUCUUACGGGUGGCGAGUGGCGGAAGGGAGAGGAAUACAUCGGAAUCUACUUUUUCGUGGGGGAUAACGUAGGGAAACUUACGCUAAUACCGCAUACGACCUACGGGUGAAAGCAGGGGAUCUUCGGACCUUGCGCGGUUGAAUGAGCCGAUGUCGGAUUAGCUAGUUGGCGGGGUAAAGGCCCACCAGGGCGACGAUCCGUAGCUGGUGUGAGAGAAUGGUCGGCCACCUGGGAAGUGAGCCACGGUCCUGACUCCUACGGGAGGGAGCAGUGUGGUAUAGUGGACAAUGGGCGCGAGUCUGAUCCAGCGGGACCGCGUGGGUUAAGGAGGCCUUCCGGGUGUAAAGCCGUCUUGUGGGGAGAGAAAAGCAGCAGGUUGAGACCAAGCUGUACUGACGGUACCCAAAGAAUAAGCACCGGCUAACUUCGUG